rnacentral:tRNA from 1 species
ACUUUUAUAGCUUAUUAAAGCACCAACCUUGUAAAUUGGAGACUGAAGACUUAACCCUUCUAAAAGUA